rnacentral:rRNA from 1 species
UACGGGGGGUGCAAGCGUUAAUCGGAAUUACUGGGCGUAAAGCGUGCGCAGGCGGUUGUGCAAGACCGAUGUGAAAUCCCCGGGCUUAACCUGGGAAUGGCAUUGGUGACUGCACGGCUAGAGUGUGUCAGAGGGGGGUAGAAUUCCACGUGUAGCAGUGAAAUGCGUAGAGAUGUGGAGGAAUAUCGAUGGCGAAGGCAGCCCCCUGGGAUAACACUGACGCUCAUGCACGAAAGCGUGGGGAGCAAACAGG